CAUUCACGGAGAGUUUGAUCCUGGCUCAGGACGAACGCUGGCGGCGUGCUUAACACAUGCAAGUCGAACGAUGAACCACUUCGGUGGGGAUUAGUGGCGAACGGGUGAGUAACACGUGGGUAAUCUGCCCUUCACUCUGGGACAAGCCCUGGAAACGGGGUCUAAUACCGGAUAUCACUUCCACUCGCAUGGGUGGGGGUUGAAAGCUCCGGCGGUGAAGGAUGAGCCCGCGGCCUAUCAGCUUGUUGGUGAGGUAACGGCUCACCAAGGCGACGACGGGUAGCCGGCCUGAGAGGGCGACCGGCCACACUGGGACUGAGACACGGCCCAGACUCCUACGGGAGGCAGCAGUGGGGAAUAUUGCACAAUGGGCGAAAGCCUGAUGCAGCGACGCCGCGUGAGGGAUGACGGCCUUCGGGUUGUAAACCUCUUUCAGCAGGGAAGAAGCGAAAGUGACGGUACCUGCAGAAGAAGCGCCGGCUAACUACGUGCCAGCAGCCGCGGUAAUACGUAGGGCGCAAGCGUUGUCCGGAAUUAUUGGGCGUAAAGAGCUCGUAGGCGGCUUGUCACGUCGGGUGUGAAAGCCCGGGGCUUAACCCCGGGUCUGCAUUCGAUACGGGCUAGCUAGAGUGUGGUAGGGGAGAUCGGAAUUCCUGGUGUAGCGGUGAAAUGCGCAGAUAUCAGGAGGAACACCGGUGGCGAAGGCGGAUCUCUGGGCCAUUACUGACGCUGAGGAGCGAAAGCGUGGGGAGCGAACAGGAUUAGAUACCCUGGUAGUCCACGCCGUAAACGGUGGGAACUAGGUGUUGGCGACAUUCCACGUCGUCGGUGCCGCAGCUAACGCAUUAAGUUCCCCGCCUGGGGAGUACGGCCGCAAGGCUAAAACUCAAAGGAAUUGACGGGGGCCCGCACAAGCAGCGGAGCAUGUGGCUUAAUUCGACGCAACGCGAAGAACCUUACCAAGGCUUGACAUCGCCCGGAAAGCAUCAGAGAUGGUGCCCCCCUUGUGGUCGGGUGACAGGUGGUGCAUGGCUGUCGUCAGCUCGUGUCGUGAGAUGUUGGGUUAAGUCCCGCAACGAGCGCAACCCUUGUUCUGUGUUGCCAGCAUGCCCUUCGGGGUGAUGGGGACUCACAGGAGACCGCCGGGGUCAACUCGGAGGAAGGUGGGGACGAACGUCAAGUCAUCAUGCCCCUUAUGUCUUGGGCUGCACACGUGCUACAAUGGCCGGUACAAUGAAGCUGCGAUACCCGUGAGGUGGGAGCGAAUCUCAAAAAGCCGGUCUCAGUUCGGAUUGGGGUCUGCAACUCGACCCCAUGAAGUCGGAGUUGCUAGUAAUCGCAGAUCAGCAUUGCUGCGGUGAAUACGUUCCCGGGCCUUGUACACACCGCCCGUCACGUCACGAAAGUCGGUAACACCCGAAGCCGGUGGCCCAACCCCCUUGUGGGGAGGGAGCUGUCGAAGGUGGGACUGGCGAUUGGGACGAAGUCGUAACAAGGGUAGCCGUACCGGAAGGUGCGGCUGGAUCACCUCCUUUCUAAGGAGCACUUCUUACCGACUUCGGUUGGUCAGAGGCCAGUUCAUCAGCGAACGUCUGAUGCUGGUUGCUCAAGGGUGGAACGUUGACUAUUCGGCGCACUUGGUUCUUUCUCUUCCAGUACUGCUUCGGCGUGGACCGGAUGAAGGAAGGACCUGGUGGGUCGGGCACGCUGUUGGGUGUCUGAGGGAAUGGAUUUUUUCCUCAGUGGCCGGCCCCAGUGAACUCGCCUGUCAAGGGUGGGGUGAUGGGUGGCUGGUCCCGUUGUUUGAGAACUGCACAGUGGACGCGAGCAUCUGUGGCCAGUUUUAGGGCGCACGGUGGAUGCCUUGGCACCAGGAACCGAUGAAGGACGUGGGAAGGCCACGAUAAGCCCCGGGGAGUCGUCAACCAGGCUUUGAUCCGGGGGUGUCCGAAUGGGGAAACCCGGCAGUCGUCAUGGGGCUGUCACCCUUGCCUGAACACAUAGGGCAAGUGGAGGGAACGCGGGGAAGUGAAACAUCUCAGUACCCGCAGGAAGAGAAAACAACCGUGAUUCCCGGGAGUAGUGGCGAAGCGAAACCGGGAUGAGGCCAAACCGUAUGCGUGUGAGACCCGGCAGGGGGUUGCGUAUACGGGGUUGUGGGAUCUCUCUUGAUCAGUCUGCCCGGCUGGUCGACGAGUCAGAAACCGUUGAAUGUAGGCGAAGGACAAUGCGAAAGGUCCGGCGUAGAGGGUAAGACCCCGUAGUCGAAACAUAGCGGCUCGUUUGAGAGACACCCAAGUAGCACGGGGCCGAGAAAAUCCCGUGUGAAUCCUGGCGGGACCACCCGCUAAGCCUAAAUAUUCCCUGGUGACCGAUAGCGGAUAGUACCGGUGAGGGAAUGGUGAAAGUACCGCGGGAGCGGAGUGAAAUAGUACUGAAACCGUGUGCCUACAAGCCGUGGGAGCGUCGCGCUGUGUGUGCUUGCCCAUACAAGUCGUGACUGCGUGCCUUUUGAAGAAUGAGCCUGCGAGUUUGCGGUGUGUUGCGAGGUUAACCCGAGUGGGGAAGCCGUAGCGAAAGCCGGAGUCCCGAAUAGGGCGGUAUAGUUAGCGGCCUCAGACCCGGAAGCGGAGUGAAUCUAGCCAUGGGCAGGGUUGAAGCGGAAGGUAAGACCUUCGUGGAGGACCGAACCCACCAGGGUUGAAAACCCUGGGGGAUGACUGUGGUUAGGGGUGAAAAGGCCAAUCACUCCGUGAUAGCUGGUUCUCCCCGAAGGAUGCAUUUAGGUGCAGCGUCGUGUGUGUUCUUGCCGGAGGUUUAGACCACGUGGGAUAGGCGAUGGGCCCUAUCCGGGUUACCUGAACCUUAGCCCAAACUCGCGAAUGCCCGGUAAGUGAGAGCGCGGCAGUGAGAACUGUGGGGGAUAAGCUCCCAUGGUCGAGAGGGAAACAGCCCAGAGCAUCGGACUAAGGCCCCCUAAGCCGUACGCUCAGUUGGGAAAUGGAUUGUGGAAGUCCGCUAGAGUACAACCAGGAGGUUGGUCUUAGAAGCAGCCACCCUUGAAAGGUGGCGUAAUAGCUCACUGGUCUAGUGAUUCCCGCCGACAAUGUAGCGGGGCUCAAGCGUACCGCCGAAGUCCGUGUCAUUCCAGCAACAUACUCCCAACGGAAGGCUGGGAUGGGUAGGGAGCGUCGUGUGCGGGGUGAAGCAGCCGCGGAAGCGAGUUGUGGACGGUUCACGAGUGAGAAAUGCAGGCAUGAGUAGCGAUUACACACGUGAGAAACGUGUGCGCCGAUUGACCUAAGGGGUUCCUGGUCAAGCUGAUCUGCCCAGGGUAAGUCCGGGACCUAAGGCGAGGCCGACAGCGUAGUCGAUGAUAACCGGUUGAUAUUCCGGUACCCGCUGUGAAGCGUCAAACAUUGAAUCAGGCGAUGCUAGCCCGUGAAGCCGUUUCCGGACCCCUUCGGGGAAUGGAAGUGGUGGGAGCCGGCGGACCAGACUUGUAGUAGGUGAGUGGAUGGGGUGACGCAGGAAGGUAGUCCCAUCCCGGGCGGUGGUUGUCCCGGGGUAAGGGUGUAGCCCGAGUGGUAGGUAAAUCCGCCACUCAUGCAGGGUGAGACCUGAUGCCGAGCCGAUUGUGGUGAAGUGGAUGAUCCUAUGCUGUCGAGAAAAGCCCUCUAGCGAGUUUUAUGGCGGCCCGUACCCUAAAACCGACUCAGGGUGGUCAGGUAGAGAAUACCGAGGCGUUCGGGUGAACUAUGGUUAAGGAAACUCGGCAAAUGCCCCCGUAACUUCGGGAGAAGGGGGGCCAUGUCCGGUGAUGAGCUUCGCGCUCUGAGCUGGGGGUGGCCGCAGAGACCAGCGAGAAGCGACUGUUUACUAAAAACACAGGUCCGUGCGAAGCCGUAAGGCGAUGUAUACGGACUGACGCCUGCCCGGUGCUGGAACGUUAAGGGGACCGGUUAGUCACUCUUCGGGGUGGCGAAGCUGAGAACUUAAGCGCCAGUAAACGGCGGUGGUAACUAUAACCAUCCUAAGGUAGCGAAAUUCCUUGUCGGGUAAGUUCCGACCUGCACGAAUGGCGUAACGACUUCUCGACUGUCUCAACCAUAGGCCCGGUGAAAUUGCACUACGAGUAAAGAUGCUCGUUUCGCGCAGCAGGACGGAAAGACCCCGGGACCUUUACUCGUAGUGCAAUUUCACCGGGCCUAUGGUGAGACAGUCGAGAAGUCGUUACGCCAUUCGUGCAGGUCGGAACUUACCCGACAAGGAAUUCGCUACCUUAGGAUGGUUAUAGUUACCACCGCCGUUACUGGCGCUUAAGUUCUCAGCUUUCGCCACCCCGAAGAGUGGACUAACCGGUCCCCUUAACGUUUCCAGCACCGGGCAGGCGUCAGUCCGUAUACAUCGCCUUACGGCUUCGCACGGACCUGUGUUUUUUAGUAAACAGUCGCUUCUCGCUGGUCUCUGCGGCCACCCCCAGCUCAGAGCGCGAAGCUCAUCACCGGACAUGGCCCCCCUUCCUCCCGAAGGGGAUUCCGAGUCCAUAUCGACGGGAUGGUUUGGCACCUCGAUGUCGGCUCGUCGCAUCCUGGGGCUGGAGUCGGUCCCAAGGGUUGGGCUGUUCGCCCAUUAAAGCGGUACGCGAGCUGGGUUUAGAACGUCGUGAGACAGUUUCGGUCCCUAUCCGCUGCGCGCGCAGGAACAUUGAGAAGGGCUGUCCCUAGUACGAGAGGACCGGGACGGACGAACCUCUGGUGUGCCAGUUUGUUCUGCCAAGGGCAUGGCUGGUUGGCUACGUUCGGGAGGGAUAACCGCUGAAAGCAUCUAAGCG
rnacentral:rRNA from 1 species